GUGACAGGAGGCAGAAUGUGCCAGAAAGAAGCCUGGGAUCAUUAAAAACAUUAUGAUAUUUCCUGAAUGUAAUCCAGCCUGAUCGCGUUCUCUUAGUCAUUCCUGGAGCCAUCUUAUUACUCACGUUCAAAGACUGUCAAAGUUUGAUAUGCUGGCAGAUAAACAAUAUGAAAUUUCAAGAGGGGUGACUUGCUCAGGAUCACACAAUUAAGCAGUUUCUGAGACAGGAUUUUGCUUCAAGUUCAGUGCUAUUCACUCUACCCCAUGAUGACUUACCAAUACAACUUGUCCAUCAUCAACUCUUGAUUGAAGUCUUGUGUUCUUUAAUAUUCAGAAACAUAUAUGAACAUUCAGGAACAUGCAUGUAUGUAAGGUUUUACAUGUGCAUGUAUGCAAGAUUGAAAUUUUCAUUGUGCAUGGAAGGUAUGAAUUCUUCAUGAGUGCUUGACUAUAUUCAUGAGUUGUUCUUCAUGCCUGGAAGUAAGCUUUUCAUAUGAUCAUCUUCAUGAGUGGGUGUUUGUAGUAUGUUAUUAGAUGCAUGCCAUUAUUAUGAAUUUGAUAUUCUCUUAUCAUUUGAUGUUUGAGUUUUCACAAGGAGAUUUAUUGUUUGCUCUCUUUGAUGUUCAUGCUAAAAUGUUGACUUUUUAAGUUUCUUGGAGAUAGAAUUUUGAUAUAAUGUAUUGCGUUUGGUCAUAAAGUUAUGUUUUCUUAGUGAAAUAACAUUGUUAC
rnacentral:lncRNA from 1 species